CCGGCUGGGCGGCCGCGCGCGGAAACGCUCGAGGAACGUCCGGGCUCCACAGGGCAGGGUGAUGGCUAACAGCCACCCGGGGUAACCCGCGGGACAGUGCCACAGAAAACAAACCACCGGCGCGCAUGCGUCGGUAAGGGUGAAAAGGUGAGGUAAGAGCUCACCAGCGGCGCGGGUGACCGCGUCGGCUAGGUAAACCCCACCCGGAGCAAGACCGAGCAGCAGGCAGGGCGGCCCGUCCAAUGCCUGCGGGUAGGUUGCUGGAGGCCGUCGGUAACGACGGUCCUAGAUAGAUGGUCGCCACCGUACGACCGGUAACGGCGUGCGUGACAGAACCCGGCGUAUAGGCCGAC
rnacentral:RNase_P_RNA from 1 species